AGUUUUGAGCGGUGGGAAUAUCAUAGCCAAUGAGGAUUAUCUGAGGCGCGAUUAUUGCUAAUUGAAAACUUAAUUACUCACUAAAGAUCUAGCACUUGAAUACAUUAGGAAAUAUUUGUGUUCUUAUCUUGAAC
ensembl:snRNA U4 U4 spliceosomal RNA